UUUAAUGGGAAAUUCCCCCCCACCGUACACUUUUUUCUGAGGCACAGUCUCACUAUGUUGUCCAGACUGGUUUUGAACUCCUGGGCUCAAGAGAUCCUCCCACAUCAGCCUCCCCAGUAGCUGGGACUACAGGCACGACCCACUGCACCCAGCUACAUUUUUCAAUUUUAAAAUGUUGGCAACUCACUUAAAUGUAAGACAAAUAAACACAUCUGUAGACUGGCAGUGCUACCCACACUGCCCAGACUAGGGGUUAGGGGGCCUGUGUGGGCCAUCACCAGGCUGCUAACCACAGCAACCAAUAUGUGCCAAGCCUGACUACACGUACCUUCUCAUUCCACCCUCCUGGCAGCCUCACAUCUGCUUUACAGAUGGGGAACUGAAGCUCUAAGAGACUAAGAAAAUUGCCCAAGGCCACUGCAGCUAGCCAGGGGCAGAUAUGGGAGUCAGAGCUGGGUGCAGCUGACUACAAACACUGUGCUCAGGAUGAUACCCUGUAGGAGCCUCGACCUCUCUUCCAGUUCUCUUCUCCCUCCACUCAGGCAGAUGAGCUCUGCCUUCACAGGGCACCAGGCUGGAACAUCUGUCUGGAGGCCAGGGGCGGUGGCUCACGCCUGUGAUCCCAGCACUUUGGGAGGCCAAGGUGGGAGGAUCACUUGAGGUCAGGAGUUCAAGACCAUCCUGGCCAACAUGAUGAAACCCCAUCUCUACUAAAAAUACAAAAACUAGCUGGGCAUGGUGGCUCAUGCCUGUAAUCCCAGCUACUUGGGAGGCUGAGGCAGGAGAAUCGCUUGAACUCGGGAGGCAGAGGUUGCAGUGAGCUGAGAUCGUGCCACUGCAUUCAAGCCUGGGUGACAGAGUGAGGCUCUGUCUCAAAAAAAAAAAAAAAAAAGGAGCUUCUGUCUGGGGUGUGCCUAGCAGUCAUUCACACCCUCACUGAAAUCUCAGCUCCCUGGGAAAGGAUGUCGUGUUAAAGGGAGAGGAAAGAACAGACAGCGUGGGAGUCUGGGGUCUGAGCUGGGCCAGCCAUGGAGGUGAUGGGGCCCCCGACAGCCAGAGGCCUGAUGCAGCUUGAGGCUUUGUCCCGUACCACGCCUGUUGUGCUGUGGGGUGUACUUUGCCAUUGCAUACCUUGCUUGCGUGCUGCUGGCAUUGGCUGUCCCAGCUUGGCCCCACUCUUGCAAAGUCAGCUUGUGCCAGGUAAGCAAGAAAAAGCCGAUGGCUUAUCUGAUUCCCGGCAAGGCAGAAGCAGGCUGGGAGGUGCACAUUACCAUGUGUUUCAGCGUAUCCAGACCAGCUUCCGCCAGGAGCUAGGACCACCUUGGGCAGGUACACGGUGACCCAUCUGACCUGCAGUUCCUUAGGAAACUUUUUGGAAACCAUAUGCCCACUUGCAGUGAGACACAGUGGUUAGGAGCAUGGAGCCAGACGGCCUGGGUUGAACAGUUUAUUAGCUGUGUGGCCUGGGGCAAAUUACGCCCUGGAACUCUCACCCGCAAACCAGAGAUAAUAAUAGUACCUACCUCAUGGGGCUGUUAGGAGAAUUAAAUGAGGUCAGAUAUAUGCAAAGUGCUUAGAACGGCGCUUGAUGUGUAAGAAGGGCUUGGCAAGGUUGUCUAUUACUGUCAUUAUCUCCAGCCCAGGCCCAGGAAUGAGCUUCCACUCUAGUCAGGAUGGGUGAAGCCCUUCCUGGCUUAGCACCACCCUUCCAUCACCUUGACAACGCACAUCUCCUUGUGGGAGUGGGGGCAGCAUCAGGAGAACUGGGAGCCAGGAGCUGGCUGUGCACCUUACCUGACCUGCUUCUAGAGGCUCCUGGGCACCUCCAGGACUUAAGGGGGUGGACUAGGACUUAUGGCACCCCAAAUGUGCUGGAUAACCCUGACUGGAGCAUGGCACCCCAGCUUCUUGACUCCAAAGCCACAGACUGGGGAGAACCCUGGAGUUCCUGAAAAUGUUGAGGGCCUUAGCUUUACCCUCUGAUUCGACCCCAGUCCCAAAGGGAACCUACAGGAUGCUCCGAGGGGUUGGGAGCUGGUGGGUCACACUCCCCGAGGACUUUUUAUACUGCGCCUGAAUGGUGUUUGAAUUUUUUGCAAAUUGGUUACUACCUUUAAAACUCAGGAAAUGGCACAUAAAAAAUUCAGGUAUCUGGCUUUUCUUUAAAGUGCCAGAAGAUCAAGCCACGGUGGUUGGCAUUCCUGCUGGGGCAAAAAUGCAGCUGCCCUUGGGCCAGGCCAUCACUCUGCAGUUCCUACCUCCCCCUCCCCUUGCCGUACCACCCCGCACCAGGCCUGCAGGCUUACCAUGUGUAACCACCUCUCUGAAGUACAAGGGAAUCCAGAAACUGGGGUGGGCGUUAUCCUGGCCCUCGGUGCCCUUGACCAGAGAUCAGUGCAGCCCAUCCCAAUUUCCUUUUUCCAGGACUCCCCCCACACACCCAUUUAGAACACAUCUGCGAGCCAGAUUUACUUCUUAGCACAAUAAUAAAACAAUGAGCAGUCACCUAGGUUCAGGUAAUGGGUUGUACGAGCUCCCAGACCUUUCUAGAACAGCUUAAGCCUCAGUCUUUCCUAAAAGCUGGGGGUGAAGGAUGGGGUGGGGAAGAAACCAUGCCAAGCAGUGAAAGGACUGAUAAUAGAAUAUUGCAGACACGCAGCCUUUCCUUCCCAAUCGAAAUGGAAGCAUUUGAAGGAAGGCUCUGGCUCAAGCCAGGGGGUCCUUGCUCUAAUGAGUCACCUACCGCGUCGCCGCUGGUCAGCCUGAUGUUGUGAGGAUGGAAAUGAGCUGGGGUUGCCAGAUUUGGCAAAUACAAAAACAGGACACCCAGGAGCAUUGAUGUUUUGGAUGAACAAUGGAAGAGAUUUUGGCAUAAGUAUGUCCUAUGGAAUAUUUGGGACACACAUAUUAAAAACUUAUUUGAAAUUUGGCCCGGCGUGGUGGCUCACACCUGUAAUCUCAGCACUUUGGGAGACCAAGGCUGGUGGAUCACCUGAGGUCAGGAGUUCGAGAUCAGCCUGGCCAACAUGGUGAAACCCCAUCUCUACAAAAAAUACAAAAAUUAAUCGGGUGUGGUGGCACAUGCCUGUCAUCCCAGCUACUUGGGAGGCUGAGGCAGGCGAUCACUUGAACCCGGGAGGCAGAGGCUGCAGUGAGCCGAGAUCACGCCACUGCACUCUAGCCCGGGCAACAAAGAGAGACUCCAUCUAAAAAAAACACAACAAAACAAAAAAAUCUGAAAUUCACAUGCCACUGGGCAUCCUGUGUUUUCUCUGGCAAUCCUGAGGAGAGUCUUAGAAUGCUUGAAAAGAGCUUUAAACAUCAUUUCUCAAAAUGCCAAGCCUCCCUUUGGUGGCACUCCCCUUAUAGCUGAGCGUAAGCUCUGGAUGACAGGCACGUGGGUGCCAGGAGGCCAGGACCUAGGAGCGGGACGCUGACUCUCUGCAGCCCUCUCCGCUCACUCUCUUUUCCCUUCCAGUCACAGUCACCGCAGCAGACAUCAUGGCCGUGGAUGUGGCAGAAUACCAUCUGAGCGGGUCCCCGGGGAGACCCUCGUUCUGCUGCACCCUGGGGAUGAGCCUGUGACUCGGAAUCCACUCACCGAGGCCUUUUGUGGAGACUGUCAAGUAGGCAGGGGAAAAUAAACCCAGGAAGUCAAUGUUAGAUUCAUGGGGCGUUAAACUCAGAGACCACCCAGUCCAGAGGCAGAGGUUAUAGUGAGCUGAGAUCACACCACUGCACUCCAGCUUUCCAGCCUGGGCGACAGCGUGAGACUCCGUCUCUUUAGAAAAAAAAAGAGGCCAUCCAGUCUAGGGCCAUGACUCCCACCCUGUCACCCUAUGCCUCAGCAGGGAGAUGGGAGCUGGCUGGGAGAUGCCUCAAGAUUCCAGAUAUACUCCUGCAGCCCUCCCCAUGGACGGCGGAUGGGGUCAGAGCUGAAACAUACCAGCUGUCUUUUCUCCCUUUGUUCCUCUCCUCAUUCACAGAUGGGAGAAGUGAGGCGCAGAGAGUAACAGGGUCAGGAUGUGCACUCAGGUCUCCUGACUCCCAGCCCCGUGCUCCCCAUCACUCCAGCCCCUACCCUAACGCAGCCCCAGGGGAGCCCAGGGCUGAUCUGAAGAGUGUGCCUGGGAAUCACCUUUCCCAUGACUUUUUCCCAAAAGUGAGCCAGGGAGCCGCACUUUUCACCCUCAGGCUCACAGGUCUUGCCCCCCCACACCCCGCCCCCUACCCGUAUGGCCUUGGGCAAAUGGUGAAACUUCUACUUACUUAUCUGUAGAAUGCAAACGAUGAGUCUUGCCUCAGGGCCGUUGGGAAGAUUUAGAGAGCUGAUGGAUGUGCAGCGCCCAGCAUGGUGCAAACGCCACUCUCCCAGCGGCAGGGCUUUGCACAUGCUGUUCUCCUGGCCUGGAGUCCUUCCCUGCCUCUGCCUCUGCCUGCCUGAGUCCUGGCGCCUGGUGGUGGGGUUAUAGGUGCAGAUCUGGACCCAGUCUGUCUGGAGGCAGAUCUCUCUUCCGUCCCUCAGCUUCCUCAUCUAUAAAAUGGGGACAACAAUAGAACCAACCUCACAGGAUUGCCUUGACUUGAUGGGUUAAUGUACGUGACGUGCUUAGAACAGGGCCUGGCAAAUCAUAAAUAGUAAGUGCUUCAUAAGGGGAGCUAUUCCUCCUCCUUCUCGUCCCACUCGUUUCCGGUCUUCGCCUAGACCCCACUUCCAAUAUCACCCCAAGACUGGUAUUCCAUAAAAUCAAUAAUCAAAUGAAUGCGAAUUGUCAUUUCAUGUCCCUUCCUGGGGCUUUUCCUUCUGUACCCCCAGCCCUGCCCCCUUUUCUGCCACCCCGGGCAUGGGCUCCACCCUUCAGCUCCCAAGAGCCUCAGGCACAGGGGAGCCUGAACCUGCUUUGCCACCUGGCUGUGCCCACAGCCUGCUCAGAGACCUUGGGCCUCUGGUCCUGCCCUCUGGCCAACCCCGGGCUACCACCCAGCCCUGCUGUGACCCUGUUCCCAGGACUCCCAGAAUACGCCAAGCCUUGGCAGGGCGGGGCCCGGGAGCCUCCAUGGAUCUCUUUGUUAUGGGCAUAUGUAGACCACAGGUGACAUUCUGUCAACAGCAGCAGGAGGAAGGAGGGUUUCUUCACAGCCCUUCCACCGUCAUUACCCAUUCCUUCUGUUUUUCCCUGGUCUGCGCAGCCCGUGACUAUGUGCUGCGUGACUUUUGCGCACGUCACACAAUUGCGUGAUUAGACCAUGUUGGGGAUUCAUUUUUUUUCCUCUCUUAACAAUGCCAGAAAUGUGUCUCUGCAUUGCCACAGUGCCAUCCUAAUGACCUCAAUUGUCAUUCUCGAAGGCCAGUGACAUUUCCUCCCAAGACAGAGCCACCAGCCCUCACUGGCCCCCUCAGUGGGACCUUCAGGCUGUUUCCAGAUUUCUGCUGUUAUAAAUACAGCCUCGAUGACUCAUCCCAGACACAAAACCUGUUGGGAUUUUCCCUUUAGAAUAAAUUCACCAGAGUGGGACCGCUGGAUGGGGGAUGUUCUUGUCAUCCGCAUUUUCCAAACGGAGUAUGAAGCCCAAAGGUGCUGGGUGACUUGCCUGGAAGCCAAGGUACCGGUGCCCGAGCUCUGCCGUUUCUCACCGCUGGCCUUGAGUGGAGAAACAGAUGUGCCUAUUACCCUUCCUUGGUCUCAGUUUUCCUCUUUUAGAAAGUAGGGCCUUGGCCGGGCGCGGUGGCUCAUGCCUGUAAUCCCAGCACUUUGGGAGGCCAAGGUGGGCGGAUCACCUGAGGUCAGGAGUUUGAGACCAGCCUGGCCAACAUGGUGAAACGCUGUCUCUACUAGAAAUACAAAAAAUUAGCCGGGCGUGGUGGUGGACGCCUGUAAUUCCAGCUACUUGGGAGGCUGAGGCAGGAGAAUCGCUUGAACCCAGGAGGCAGAGGUUGCAGUGAACCGAGAUCGUGCCAUUGCACUCCAGCCUGGGCAACGAGAGUGAAACUCCAUCUC
rnacentral:sRNA from 1 species